AAGCCGACGAUAUGGAUCCCACCACCGGACCAGCAUGUGAAAGUGAAUGUUGACGCUGCAGUAGCAAGACAUGGGGGCCUUGGGGCGGCCGCAGCCAUUUGUCGGGACAGCACAGGGAUCUACCAGGGGGCGUCCAUGGUAGUCUUCAGAAAUAUCGACGAUCCAGCAGUACUGGAGACCUUGGCGAUCCGGGAAGCUUUGUCUCUAUCUGAUGAUCUUUAUGUCCACAAAAUUGCUGUUGCUUCGGACUGCAAACAGGUAGUGGAAGCUAUCAAGACGGGUACAUCGGCAUCCUAUGGAGCAAUUGUACAUGAAAUAGUUGAACGAUCGAAGUCUUUUUCUUCUUGUAGGAUUAGCCAUGAAUUUACAACCUCUAAUGUAGAGGCUCACAAGCUCGCAAAGCACGCUUUAACGCUGGGUAUCGGCCGCCAUGCUUGGUUAGGUCUAUCCGGAGAUCUUGUUUUCGUCCCUGUAAAUAUUGUGACGGAUGAAUAA
rnacentral:rRNA from 1 species